rnacentral:rRNA from 1 species
UACGUAGGGUGCGAGCGUUAAUCGGAAUUACUGGGCGUAAAGCGUGCGCAGGCGGUUAUUUAAGUCAGGGGUGAAAGCCCUGGGCUUAACCUAGGAAUUGCGCUUGAGACUGGAUAGCUUGGAGUGCGGCAGAGGGAGGUGGAAUUCCACGUGUAGCAGUGAAAUGCGUAGAGAUGUGGAGGAACACCGAUGGCGAGGGCAGCCUCCUGGGCCAGCACUGACGCUCAUGCACGAAAGCGUGGGGAGCAAACAGG